rnacentral:rRNA from 1 species
GACGAACGCUGGCGGCGUGCUUAACACAUGCAAGUCGAACGGACAGGCCCUGCUUGCCGGGUACUCGAGUGGCGAACGGGUGAGUAACACGUGGGUGAUCUGCCCUGCUCUUCGGGUUAAGCCUGGGCAACUGGGUCUAAUACCUGAUAGGUGACAUUUUUAGUGUGAUGGUUGGAAAGUUUUGUCGGUGUAGGAUGAGCUCGCAGCCUAUCAGCUUGUUGGUGGGGUAAUGGCCUACCAAGGCGGCGACGGGUAGCCGGACUGCGAGGGUGGACGGCGACACAGGGACCGAGGUGCGGCCCAGAUUCCGACGGGAGGCAGAAGGGGGGAAGACUGAAGAAUCGGCGCAAGCCUGAUGCAGCGAGGCCGCGUGGGGGAUGACGGCCUUCGGGUUGAAAACCACUUUCGCAAGGAACGAAGCUUUUUGUGACGGUACCUAGAUAAAAAGCACCGGCUAACUACGUG